ACGGGUGAGUAAUGCCUAGGAAUCUGCCUGGUAGUGGGGGAUAACGUUCGGAAACGGACGCUAAUACCGCAUACGUCCUACGGGAGAAAGCAGGGGACCUUCGGGCCUUGCGCUAUCAGAUGAGCCUAGGUCGGAUUAGCUAGUUGGUGAGGUAAUGGCUCACCAAGGCGACGAUCCGUAACUGGUCUGAGAGGAUGAUCAGUCACACUGGAACUGAGACACGGUCCAGACUCCUACGGGAGGCAGCAGUGGGGAAUACUGGACAAUGGGCGAAAGCCUGAUCCAGCCAUGCCGCGUGUGUGAAGAAGGUCUUCGGAUUGUAAAGCACUUUAAGUUGGGAGGAAGGGCAGUUACCUAAUACGUGAUUGUUUUGACGUUACCGACAGAAUAAGCACCGGCUAACUCUGUGCCAGCAGCCGCGGUAAUACAGAGGGUGCAAGCGUUAAUCGGAAUUACUGGGCGUAAAGCGCGCGUAGGUGGUUCGUUAAGUUGGAUGUGAAAUCCCCGGGCUCAACCUGGGAACUGCAUUCAAAACUGACUGACUAGAGUAUGGUAGAGGGUGGUGGAAUUUCCUGU
rnacentral:rRNA from 1 species